rnacentral:rRNA from 1 species
UACGUAGGCAGCGAGCGUUGUUCGGAAUUACUGGGCGUAAAGAGUGUGUAGGCGGUGCUCUAAGUUCGGUGUGAAAUCUCCUGGCUCAACUGGGAGGGUGCGCCGGAAACUGGAGUGCUUGAGCGUGGGAGAGGAAAGCGGAAUUCCUGGUGUAGCGGUGGAAAUGCGUAGAUAUCAGGAGGAACACCAGUGGCGAAGGCGGCUUUCUGGACGAUACUGACGUGAGACGCGAAAGCGUGGGGGAGCAAACA